rnacentral:rRNA from 1 species
UGAACGCGAAGAACCUUACCUGGGCUUGACAUGUAAUGAACAACAUGUGAAAGCAUGCGACUCUUCGGAGGCGUUACACAGGUGCUGCAUGGCCGUCGUCAGCUCGUGUCGUGAGAUGUUUGGUUAAGUCCAGCAACGAGCGCAACCCCUGUUGCCAGUUACCAGCACGUGAAGGUGGGGACUCUGGCGAGACUGCCCAGAUCAACUGGGAGGAAGGUGGGGACGACGUCAGGUCAGUAUGGCCCUUAUGCCCAGGGCUGCACACGUACUACAAUGCCCAGUACAGAGGGGGCCGAAGCCGCGAGGCGGAGGAAAUCCUAAAAACUGGGCCCAGUUCGGACUGUAGGCUGCAACCCGCCUACACGAAGCCGGAAUCGCUAGUAAUGGCGCAUCAGCUACGGCGCCGUGAAUACGUUCCCGGGUCUUGUACACACCG